ACCUGGGUGGCUCAGUUGGUUAAGCAUCUGACUCUUGAUUUUGGCUCAGGUCAUGAUCUCACAGUUCCUGGGUUCGAGCCCAGCCUCAGGUU
rnacentral:tRNA from 1 species